UAUCUUUGCAAAUCGAAAGAUACUCUUUCGUUUACAUAACAAUCAUUUACAACAAUAUUAGCAUG
rnacentral:ncRNA from 1 species